UGUAACCAUAGAGGAACCAUUUUUUAUGCUAUAUAGAACCUUUAUUGUUAAUGGUUCUUUAUAGAACCUUAGGAAAGGGUUCUUUAUAGCACCAUAAAGGUUCCAAACUCUUUGGGGCUGGCUAGGUACCCCUUUUGUGAUAGAAAAUUCACCAGGGACCCCCUCAGAAUCAGAACACAACUCGAAUUUUACUAUGACUUCGGCAGUGCAUUGACGGACGAACCAAGUUUUGGGCCCUGCCCUGGGAAGAAACAUUUUAAAGGUUCGGGCGACUGAAUUCAAACGGAAUUGUGCAGGCAGCCACGGAAACCGGUCACACCUCAGAGCUCAUCCUGAUCCUCUGUUGGCUCAUCUCUCUCCCUCUCAUGUACUCCACAUCAUCAGCACCUGACCUCACCACAGUUUCGCCCAGCUUCCCAAUUAUCCCUGGUGUACUCAUACCUGCGUUCUCUGUUUGUCUGUUGCCAGUUCAUCUUGUUUGUCAAGCUUACCAGCAUUUGUCCUGUCAGAUCCUGUUUUUUCCCCAGCCUCUCCUUUUCUCACUCUCCUGGUUUUGACCCUCGCCUCAUCUGUCCUGUCUCUGUACCCACCUGCCUGACCACUCUGCCCGACCCUGCCUGCCAACCGGUACCCUGCCCCAUGUAUUAUUGACCCCUGCCUGCCUUGACCUGUCUCU